rnacentral:lncRNA from 1 species
GUGGGCUGCUGGGAGUCUAACUGGGUCAGCAGGUGGAACCUAUGUGAUAGAUAAAGAGACACCAGAUGCUUCACAAAGUAAAGAGACACAGACGUUUGCCAGGCAUUCCGGCCCAAGAACCAUUGUUCUCCAUCUGAGACACAGGAGCCUUCAGCAGUGAGUUCCCAUUUCUCGAACCCCAGGCACCACAAGGACCCAGCGCUCUCCAGAGAGGGGGCCUCCUGGAAAGCUAAACUUGAGAGAAAAGAAUGGGCCAUUGUCUUCCACACAGAGUCCCAUGUGAACAGCACACCGUGGAAAGAUUUUGAAAUAGCUAGGUGAUAUCAGGCAGGUGCUCCGUGUCCAACGUUAGUCUCCCAAGUGACCAGCCUAAGCCGGCCAGGUUUCCAUUUCUCCUCUGCUCAGGGGUUUUGUCCCCAGUCUGUCAGCACAGAAAAUUGCUGGUGGGUGUCUUGUUUCAUGAAGUGGGCAGGAGAACUACAGAGGGUGUGUGCUGCUCGGUACUUUGAGCGCUAUUUGGCCCAGAUUGAAUAAACCUUUGCACAAAGCUGCCCUAUCUCUGGUGAACUAUGCCACCCACAGGAAGCGGCGAAGGCACCAGCUGAGUUUUCCAAAUGCCUCCGUGAAGGCUCCGAAGGGCAGUAUUUUCAGUAAAUGAGACUACAUUGGUGUAGCUUCUGAAUAUAAAAUCAGAGAAAUUG